rnacentral:tRNA from 1 species
CCGGCGACGGCGGGGCGGGUGCCGGCCGGUGGUCCCGGCCGGCACCCGCCGGGCGGUCAGGCGGAGGCGGGUUCCUUGGCGUGCUCCUCGGCC